AACGUGAAUGAUAUUGAAUAAUAAGGGUCUACAAGGGAUCAAUUGGUUCUUCGGUUGAGAAAGGAUGGGAGAGUACCCAUAAUGGAUUUGAGUGCAAACAAUGAGAAUCCGUCUCUGACAAGUACUCCUUGAAUUGAAGCCUCUUAGUAAAGGAAGGAAAAGAAACUAACAAGGAUAUCCGUAGUAGUGGCGAACGAACUGGAUAGAGUCUGCUAUGUAAUCCGCAAGGAGAUGUUACGGCAACAACAGAAGUCAGCUGGAAUGCUGCGAAAGAUAAGGUGAUAUCCCUUACAGUGCGUUAGAAAAAAGUAGCCAUACUUGGUAGUGGAUGGUGAAGGCGGUGGUUUUUUCCAUCGAAGACUAAAUACAAGAAGAGACCGAUAGCGAAUAAGUAGAGUGAUCGAAAGUGUGAAAUUGUAGACUUACCCAUUAAUAUGGGCCCGUCUUGUAACACGGACCAAGGAGUUUUUCUCUUCUGUGAUGGGAAGCUUUUAAGAAGACGACCAAUCGAAGGAGGAGAAUAGAAGGGAAAAGACCCGAUAGAUGUGUGAACUAUUUCUGGUUCCUAUGAAGGCUAGCGAAAGCUGGCUGGAGGUGGUAAGUCGUAUUGAGUUACAGUUCAUUGACGUAAACUGGAAAUAGGGGCGAAAGACCAAUCGAACCAUCUAGUGGCUGGUUCCCCCCAAAAUGUCUCUCAGGACAGCGUAUCUUGGAAGAGUGGUUGUGUAUAGCAAUGUUUAAUGUAGACAAACUAUAAAGCAGCAUACUUGAGAAGGUGCAGUGGGCAUGUUUUGGUAAGCAGGACUUGCGAAAAGAAAUGAAUCUUUCAGUAGUUAAGGUGCCUAAACAGGACGAAAUCAAAGGAUUGGCACGAAUAGAGACGGCAGGGCAGUGGCCAUGAAAGUCGGCAUCUGCUAAGAAGUGUGUUAUGACAUACCUGCGGAAUUCGUGCUGACCGAAAAUUGAGGGCAAUGAGUCUUGUACCGAUACUAAAGUAGUAGGGGGGCAUUCUGAUUUCUGAGAAGCUUUCGAGUGAUCGGGAGUGGAGAGAUUGGAAGAGCUGAUCUUGGUAAUAGUAGUUUAUUACAUAAUAGUCGUAUAAAGAAGGGUUUCUUAUAAAAGAGUGAGUCGGCAUUAAUCUGUGCUGUAGAAGGCAACGGAGAAAAAGAAUGAGUUUAAUAUUACUCUACUUUGUGUGCUAGUGGUAACAGUAGAUGGCUGCAGACGAUUUGCUGUAGACAGAAUAUGACCUUCGUUGUAUUUUCAUAUGUCAUUGGAGGAUCAUCCUGCGAAGAUGAUGUAGUGUUGAAGGUAGAUUUGGUAAAAAUGCAGUCAUUGAGCAUGCAAAGCCGUACCUAAACCGAGACAGGUCUUUGGGAAUAGUAUUCUGCGACUGAGUUUAAUGCUCGUAAGGGAAUUCGGCAAAAUAGAUGCGUAACUUCGGAAGAAGUAUUGGUUCUAUGGAACUUAUUGUUGCAGGAGGAAUCUGACUGUUUAGUAAAAACAUAGCUUAUUGUAUACGAUAAGUGAAUUCUGCCCGGUGCUUGCUAAGUUAUUUCCGUAGCUGGAAUAAGCACAGGUAAACGGCGGGAGUAACUAUGACUCUCUUAAGGUAGCCAAAUGCCUAGUCGUUUAAAUGGCGACGUGCAUGAAUGGAGUGACGCGAUUCCUACUGUCCCUACGAGCGGACUAGCGAACUUAUUAUCAGGGGAACGGGCCUGAAUGAUCGGCGGGGAAAGAAGACCCUGUUGAGCUUGACUCUAGUCUGAUUUUGUAGAGAGACAUCAGAGGUGUAGCAUAAGUGGGAGGUCGCUUCGUGCGUCCAACAAUGAAAUACCACUACUCUGAUCGUUUCUUUACUUACUCGGUGAGACGGAAUCGGAGCUUCCCCAAGUGGGAUUGCCUCCUGUUUCUAGCCUAAAGCGGCGGAAGGGAGGGCGGGAGGCUUGCCUCCUUAGCCCGACCGGGCGUUCGCGCCCGCCGCGAUCCGCUCCGAGGACAUUAUCAGGUGGGGAGUUUGACUGGGGCGGUACAUCUGUCAAACGAUAACGCAGGUGUCCUAAGGCCAGCUCAGCGUGGACAGAAACCUCGCGUAGAGCAAAAGGGCAAAUGCUGGCUUGAUCCUGAUUUUCAGUACGAAUACGGACUGCGAAAGCAGGGCCUAUCGAUCCUUUUGACUUUAGGAGUUUUAAGCAAGAGGUGUCAGAAAAGUUACCACAGGGAUAACUGGCUUGUGGCGGCCAAGCGUUCAUAGCGACGUCGCUUUUUGAUCCUUCGAUGUCGGCUCUUCCUAUCAUUGCGAAGCAGAAUUCGCCAAGCGUCGGAUUGUUCACCCGUCAAAAGGGAACGUGAGCUGGGAUUAGACCGUCGUGAGACAGGUUAGUUUUAUCCUACCGAUUUGUGCGUAAGGGAAGCAGAGAGUAGUACGAGAGGAAGGAUCUGCAGGACCUCUGGUAGAGGGGCUGUUUGAAAGGGCAUGCUCCGAAGCUACGUCUUUUUGAAAAUAGCUGAAAGCCUCUAAGCUAGAAGCAAUGCCUGACCGCAAAAGCCGCACACAAAGACGAUGUGUAUAAUAAUAGUAUACUGUAAGAGUAGUAAUACUUUGAGGUAUGCUGUUAUUAGCGGCGUCAUAUGAGAAGGGGUUAACUAAAGUAUACUAUAUCCAGACAAAUUGGU
rnacentral:rRNA from 1 species